rnacentral:rRNA from 1 species
AAACUCAAAUGAAUUGACGGGGCACCCGCACAAGUGGUGGAGCAUGUUGUUUAAUUCGACAGUACACGAAGAACCUUACCAGGGUUUGACAUCCUCGGCAAAGCUAUAGAAAUAUAGUGGAGGUUAACCGAGAGACAGGUGGUGCAUGGUUGUCGUCAGCUCGUGUCGUGAGAUGUUGGGUUAAGUCCCGCAACGAGCGCAACCCUUAUUGAUAGUUACUUUAUCUAUCAAGACUGCCAACGUAAGUUGGAGGAAGGUGGGGAUGACGUCAAAUCAUCAUGCCCUUUAUAUCCUGGGCCACAAACGUGCUACAAUGGUUGGUACAAAGUGUUGCCAAACCGUAAGGUGGAGCUAAUCACAAAAAACCAAUCUCAGUUCGGAUUGAGGGCUGAAAUUCGUCCUCAUGAAGUUGGAAUCACUAGUAAUCACGAAUCAGACAUGUCGUGGUGAAUACGUUCUCGGGUCUUGUACACACCGCCCGU